GUCCAGCAACAUUGCAAUAAAUGAUAUCUUCAAGGUUUUCCUGGGAGAACCUACCACAAGACAAAUUUUCUCAUUUCCAGAAGAGAUAUCUGAGUGAUAUGUGUAGUCUAAUUGAAUGGAAUGCAGAUGACCAAAGCUCAGUUAAGAUAAAGUGACACUGUGUAGUCACCUGUGCCAUUUGAAAUACUUAAUACUAUUACUGACCCCAAAGAAAAUAUAAAAUGCAAGCCAAGUCACAUCUCUGCAGAAUCACAAACAUACCGGCCAAGAUCUCUUUUCUUUUAGAACAUUUCCCCGGGAAACAUAGAGUAGUUCAUAUAAAUAUCCUGACAUCUUUCAACAGCUGGAAGGACUCAUUCUGGGUGUUAACACAGCAGGGAACUGGAAGAAUCAGAACUGGAAGAAGAAGAAGUGAUUGGCAUGCUGACACGCUGCUGUAAGAAUUGCAGUGGGGAACAAUUACAUUGCUCAAAGAACACUUCACAAUUGGAGGGAAGAGAAUUAUGUCAGUGCUGAAGGAUUUCACAGCUGUACUCCAAAACAAACCUGGAAAUGUACAUUGUAGGUACUGGAAGCAAAAGAGUCUAUUAUUUUGUCUUCUUUUAGUUCCUCGAGGUGGUCCUGAUGGAAGCUGGAGAACCACUGUUAUACUGACUGUCCAUGAUGACGAUAAAGUUCCUGUCCUCAGCUUACUGAAGGAAGGGUCUUGGAAAGCAUUCAGGUGAAUAUACCAUCUAUUUGCUAUUUACUCAUUCAUUGGUUCAUUCAUUCAUUCAGCAGACAUCUGUUGGGGUACCUUUGAGCCAUGGGAAUUCAGGCUACUGCAUGGCCAUUGUUUCUGUGUGCUCACACUCACACAAAAAUGUGAACACUCUUGUCCACACACAUUUACUUUCACUCAUGUCCCGAUCUCGAGGAAGC
ensembl:lincRNA